GACUCGUCACACUAUCAUUAACUGAAUCCAUAGGUUAAUGAGGCGAACCGGGGGAACUGAAACAUCUAAGUACCCCGAGGAAAAGAAAUCAACCGAGAUUCCCCCAGUAGCGGCGAGCGAACGGGGAGGAGCCCAGAGCCUGAAUCAGCAUGUGUGUUAGUGGAAGCGUCUGGAAAGGCGCGCGAUACAGGGUGACAGCCCCGUACACAAAAGCGCAUGUGCUGUGAGCUCGAUGAGUAGGGCGGGACACGUGGUAUCCUGUCUGAAUAUGGGGGGACCAUCCUCCAAGGCUAAAUACUCCUGACUGACCGAUAGUGAACCAGUACCGUGAGGGAAAGGCGAAAAGAACCCCGGCGAGGGGAGUGAAAAAGAACCUGAAACCGUGUACGUACAAGCAGUGGGAGCACCCUUUGGGGUGUGACUGCGUACCUUUUGUAUAAUGGGUCAGCGACUUAUAUUCUGUAGCAAGGUUAACCGAAUAGGGGAGCCGGAGGGAAACCGAGUCUUAACCGGGCGUUAAGUUGCAGGGUAUAGACCCGAAACCCGGUGAUCUAGCCAUGGGCAGGUUGAAGGUUGGGUAACACUAACUGGAGGACCGAACCGACUAAUGUUGAAAAAUUAGCGGAUGACCUGUGGCUGGGGGUGAAAGGCCAAUCAAACCGGGAGAUAGCUGGUUCUCCCCGAAAGCU
rnacentral:rRNA from 1 species